ACAACGAUCACUAGAGCUGCAGGCCAGGACUGAAGAAGAGAAGAGAGAUUGGAUCCAAGCUAUCCAGGCCACCAUCCAAAGACAUGAACAGACGCUUGCGACGUUCCACCAUCUCAACUGUUCUCUCCGAGACGAGGACUACACUCCUCCCAACUCACCUAACUGUAAUGAGCCUGGGGAAGCGUGCCCCCACUCCGAUCCGGGAGAAGGAGGUGACUCUGUGUAUGAAGUGCC